rnacentral:rRNA from 1 species
AUUGAACGCUGGCGGUAUGCCUUACACAUGCAAGUCGAACGGUAACAGGUUAAGCUGACGAGUGGCGAACGGGUGAGUAAUAUAUCGGAACGUGCCCAGUCGUGGGGGAUAACUGCUCGAAAGAGCAGCUAAUACCGCAUACGACCUGAGGGUGAAAACGGGGGAUCGCAAGACCUCGCGCGAUUGGACCGGCCGAUAUCAGAUUAGGUAGUUGGUGGGGUAAAGGCCUACCAAGCCUACGAUCUGUAGCUGGUCUGAGAGGACGACCAGCCACACUGGGACUGAGACACGGCCCAGACUCCUACGGGAGGCAGCAGUGGGGAAUUUUGGAUAAUGGACACAAGUCUGAUCCAGCCAUGCCGCGUGCGGGAAGAAGGCCUUCGGGUUGUAAACCGCUUUUGUCAGGGAAGAAAAGGUUCUGGUUAAUACCUGGGACUCAUGACGGUACCUGAAGAAUAAGCACCGGCUAACUACGUGCCAGCCGCCGCGGUAAAAC